AUCGUAAAACCUUCAGAAGGAAAGAAUGUUUUGUGGACCAUUUUUUUUUGUGUGUGGCAGUUUUAAGUU
rfam:Rattus norvegicus chromosome 3, whole genome shotgun sequence.